rnacentral:rRNA from 1 species
GACGAACGCUGGCGGCGUGCUUAACACAUGCAAGUCGAACGGAAAGGCCCUGCUUUUGUGGGGUGCUCGAGUGGCGAACGGGUGAGUAACACGCGAGUAACCUGCCCUUGACUUUGGGAUAACUCCAGGAAACUGGGGCUAAUACCGGAUAGGAGCUCCUGCUGCAUGGUGGGGGUUGGAAAGUUUCGGCGGUUGGGGAUGGACUCGCGGCUUAUCAGCUUGUUGGUGGGGUAGUGGCUUACCAAGGCUUUGACGGGUAGCCGGCCUGAGAGGGUGACCGGCCACAUUGGGACUGAGGUACGGCCCAGACUCCUACGGGAGGCAGCAGUGGGGAAUAUUGCACAAUGGGCGGAAGCCUGAUGCAGCAACGCCGCGUGCGGGAUGACGGCCUUCGGGUUGUAAACCGCUUUCGCCUGUGACGAAGCGUGAGUGACGGUAAUGGGUAAAGAAGCACCGGCUAACUACGUG